rnacentral:tmRNA from 1 species
GGGGGCGAAACGGAUUCGACGGGGAUGUGUAAGCUUACUGUUGCAUGCCGAGCUUCUACUUGCUCGUAAAACAGUAGAACCUAAAUAUAAUCGCAGACGAUUAUAACUACGCAGUAGCAGCUUAAUACCUGUCAUACUGCCGUUCCACCGGUCUUCGCCCAUAAGGCCGGAGUUGGGGCGUCGACUCAAUGGGCUGGUUGUCUGAAGGCCGACUGUCCUUCAGCUGACGAGAUUCAACAGUAUAGUUCCGGGAAAUCUAUGUUCCGACUGAGUUCCCGGCGCGAAAACUAAAGCACGGAACUAAGCAUGUAGAUACGGGAGGGGAGCAUUUUCGGACGCGGGUUCGACUCCCGCCGCCUCCACCA